GUCUAUGGCCAUGCCACCCCGAACAAGCCCGAUCUCGUCUGAUCUCGGAAGCUAAGCAGGGUUGGGUCUGGUUAGUACUUGAAUGGGAGACCACCUAGGAAGACCAGGUGCUGUAGGCA
rnacentral:rRNA from 1 species